CCCUAGUGAAGCCAGGAGUAAAGCUCUAGAGGAACUGCUGCUCCCAGCACAAGAAUGUGAGGUCUGCUGAAGUUUAGGUGAAGUUCUAUUAGGUGUCUUUUUCUUAGUCUGGAAGCGUAAAAUGAGAAAAGGAAAGAGACAACUGUGUUCUGGUUAAGUGUGAUUCUUGCUGGAGUAUUCAGCUCUCGGACCUUUAAGCCACAAGUAGCAAAGCUGAGGAUCACAGAAAUGCACCUUAAAACCAUGCAGGCAAGUUGCAGUUAAAAACACAGGCUCACUGGAAGAUGGAUACUACACAGAGAGAAAUGCUGAAAAAAUCCUUUUGAUUUUAUCAAGUAUUGGAGGUUAGGCAAGAGAGACCCCAGCUUCAGAGGAGAAUUUGCUUAUGGAUUGUUACUGGGUUAAGU